CUGGCGCAAAGGUUGACCAGACAUGGAUA
rnacentral:sRNA from 1 species